GAUGAACGCUGGCGGCGUGCCUAAUACAUGCAAGUCGAGCGAACAGACGAGGAGCUUGCUCCUCUGACGUUAGCGGCGGACGGGUGAGUAACACGUGGAUAACCUACCUAUAAGACUGGGGUAACUUCGGGAAACCGGAGCUAAUACCGGAUAAUAUAUUGAACCGCAUAGUUCAAUAGUGAAAGACGGUUUUGCUGUCACUUAUAGAUGGAUCCGCGCCGCAUUAGCUAGUUGGUAAGGUAACGGCUUACCAAGGCAACGAUGCGUAGCCGACCUGAGAGGGUGAUCGGCCACACUGGAACUGAGACACGGUCCAGACUCCUACGGGAGGCAGCAGUAGGGAAUCUUCCGCAAAGGGCGAAAGCCUGACGGAGCAACGCCGCGUGAGUGAUGAAGGUCUUCGGAUCGUAAAACUCUGUUAUUAGGGAAGAACAAAUGUGUAAGUAACUAUGCACGUCUUGACGGUACCUAAUCAGAAAGCCACGGCUAACUACGUG
rnacentral:rRNA from 1 species